AUGCUUCAGCCCAGAUCUCCUGACAGCCUCGUAGGAGUUUUCCCUUUUCCUGUCACGGUGCUUUCCACCAUGACUAGGCCGCAGCUCCCAUGUCCUCAGAGAAUGCCAACCAAGGUCUCUAUGGACCAAAGCAAAGCACAGCUGAUCACGUCUCAUUUCUUAACCGCGCUGCCCUGGAAAGAAAGCACCAGUGAAUUCCAUCUCAAGAAAGCAUCUGUCUUCGUCUGUUCAGACUGGACUACUGCACAGUACCGGACGGGGAGAUUACAUACAGCAGACAUUUAUUUUUCACGGUUCUUGAGGCUGGAAGUCCGGGAUCAUGGUGUCAGCAGAUUCAGUGUCUAGAGAAAGACCUCUGGCAGGUUGCAGACUUUGUCUUGUGUCCUCACGUGGUGGAAGGGGCUAGGAGGCUCUGAGGGGGUUAUGUUAAAAGGGCACCAAUCCCAUUCACAAGGCCCCACCCUCAUGACCUGAUGACCUCCCAAAGAUGCCAACUUCUCAACACCAUCGUACUGGGCAUUAGGAUUUCAACAUACGAGUUUGUGGCAGCAAAACACAUUCAGACCAUAACUGCAUCCCAAAUAACUACGGGCUAGGGGAACAAAGGUCCCUUUGCAAAGUAACUGGAAAUGUCAACUGUCACGCCAUGCUGUAGUGACUGCAGCAGAGAUGAUGCUGCAUGUUUGUGUAUCAGUUUCCUGUGCUACCUGCGCGCAAAGGCAGACUACACGCUCCUGCCUCCGUCACAAUUAGAUCGGCCCCUCCCACGGAGUUUAAAGAAACGUCGGUGAGCUUGGUGUGUGUGUCAUUUGCGCCCAGCCCCUAAGCGAUCUUCUGUGUGUCCUUUCCCCUCUGAUCAGUACGGAGGAUCCAGGGGAGGACACAGAGGCCCUGGGAAGUGGACACAGGGGCCCUAAGGAAGAAGCUGGGCCCUCAGGUAAGUGCUGGGGCAUAGGGACCCGGCACUCAAGGAUGGAGACCCGCACCGGGUUGCGGCAGCUGUGAGAAAAGAACCAUCGAGGGCUAAACCACUGAGGUCGGGGGCUUGCUCUGCUCACAGAUUAGCACACCCUAAGCAAAAUGUGGGGCUCCCAGAAGAGUCAGCAGAGCAGGCUGAAGUCAAAGCACGAAGUUAACGGGAAGGUACAAGGCCAUCAUGGCAGAGUUCAGAUUUACGUGACCACAGAGGAGACAACAAAGGUCCUGGGCUCACGGGGUCGCUCCAGCAAAGGCGGUGAGGGGGCAAGUCUAAAGCACGUGGCAGGGAUGACAAAGGGGAAAUGGCCGAAUCAGACGGAAGGGUGGUGCAGGUGGAAGGAUGCGAGUGAACGGUGACGCGUGUCGU
rnacentral:lncRNA from 1 species